rnacentral:rRNA from 1 species
CCUACGGGAGGCAGCAGUGAGGAAUAUUGGUCAAUGGGCGCGAGCCUGAACCAGCCAAGUCGCGUGAGGGAGGACGGCCCUACGGGUUGUAAACCUCUUUUGCCGGGGAGCAACGGGCGUCACGUGUGGCGCCACUGAGAGUACCCGGAGAAAAAGCAUCGGCUAACUCCGUGCCAGCAGCCGCGGUAAUACGGAGGAUGCGAGCGUUAUCCGGAUUUAUUGGGUUUAAAGGGUGCGUAGGCGGAUCGUUAAGUCAGUGGUCAAAUUGAGGGGCUCAACCCCUUCCCGCCAUUGAAACUGGCAGCCUUGAGUACAGUUGAGGUAGGCGGAAUUCGUGGUGUAGCGGUGAAAUGCUUAGAUAUCACGAAGAACUCCGAUUGCGAAGGCAGCCUACUAAACUGCCACUGACAUUGAUGCUCGAAAGUGUGGGUAUCAAACAGGAUUAGAUACCCUUGUAGUC